rnacentral:rRNA from 1 species
GCACUUCGGGAUAAGCCUGGGAAACUGGGUCUAAUACCGGAUAGGACCAUGAGAUGCAUGUCUUAUGGUGGAAAGCUUUUGCGGUGUGGGAUGGGCCCGCGGCCUAUCAGCUUGUUGGUGGGGUCACGGCCUACCAAGGCUCCGACGGGUAGCCGGCCUGAGAGGGUGUCCGGCCACACUGGGACUGAGAUACGGCCCAGACUCCUACGGGAGGCAGCAGUGGGGAAUAUUGCACAAUGGGCGCAAGCCUGAUGCAGCGACGCCGCGUGAGGGACGACGGCCUUCGGGUUGUAAACCUCUUUCAGUGCCGACGAAGCGCAAGUGACGGUAGGCACAGAAGAAGGACCGGCCAACUACGUGCCAGCAGCCGCGGUAAUACGUAGGGUCCGAGCGUUGUCCGGAAUUACUGGGCGUAAAGAGCUCGUAGGUGGUUUGUCGCGUUGUUCGUGAAAACUCACAGCUCAACUGUGGGCGUGCGGGCGAUACGGGCAGACUGGAGUACUGCAGGGGAGACUGGAAUUCCUGGUGUAGCGGUGGAAUGCGCAGAUAUCAGGAGGAACACCGGUGGCGAAGGCGGGUCUCUGGGCAGUAACUGACGCUGAGGAGCGAAAGCGUGGGGAGCGAACAGGAUUAGAUACCCUGGUAGUCCACGCCGUAAACGGUGGGUACUAGGUGUGGGUUUCCUU